UAUAAAUAACACGGUCCUUUCUACUUUUAUUUUCCUAGAUUAGCUAGUUGCCACCAGCUCCGGUUUCCUGGCUGUAAUUGAACUGCAUUCUGUUCGGCUGCAAAUGCUCUGUCAUUCCUCCUCACUGUCACCUCAAGGAGCCGUGUCGGGCAUGGGUCUCAGCCGCCCCUGUGGGAGCUGAAUGCCUUGAGGAUCCUUUCUUCUGAUCUAGCUCCCCUUUACUCUUCCACUUCCACUCCAGAGGCCACCACGUUGCAAAGAAAGCAGAGAGGUUUCUUGCUCAUUCAUUCACUCGGUUAUCCGCUGGUCCCUGAAGAUGUCCUGCCUGCAGAGCCUGAUGCUAGGGGAGAGGCUCUUUCAGCUGUAGGGUGAAUGGAUCCAUUUUGGAGACCACCACUCUAGACAGUUCCUACUGCUCCUGUUACCUGUACCAAGAGCUCUUUUCUCCUUUAUUUCACAAAGGUAAGGUCAUAUCUAUUUUCCAAGUAGUAUUGACUUGGAAACUAAGUGAAAAACAAACAAACAAAAAAAAAAAAAAAAAAACAAAGGAAAACACACAAUCUCUUAAACUGACUUGACCAAAGCCCAGCCACAGUUAGCAUGGUUGGGGUUGUUUACAAGAUUCCAGCACCCUAUUUUUUUUCUGCAUCUCAAAGUCCUUGAGAGAUAGAGCGGAGGUGGGGAAAAAAUACAGGUGGUGGUAGGGAAUCUUAUUGGCUGUACCUGUGUAUAGCAGACUUACUUUUGGAUAACACUCACGGACUCUGCAAAUGUUUUGAGGUCUAUACUUUUGUAUUUGUUUUCUUUAUUUUUGGUUUCCUGUUAAGAUGCCCUUUUGAAAGAUUCCAGUAC
rnacentral:lncRNA from 12 species